rnacentral:rRNA from 1 species
AGUGAACGCUGGCGGUAGGCCUAACACAUGCAAGUCGAACGGCAGCACAGUAAGAGCUUGCUCUUACGGGUGGCGAGUGGCGGACGGGUGAGGAAUACAUCGGAAUCUACUUUUUCGUGGGGGAUAACGUAGGGAAACUUACGCUAAUACCGCAUACGACCUACGGGUGAAAGCAGGGGAUCUUCGGACCUUGCGCGAUUGAAUGAGCCGAUGUCGGAUUAGCUGGUUGGCGGGGUAAAGGACCACCAAGGCGACGAUCCGUAGCUGGUCUGAGAGGAUGAUCAGCCUCACUGGAACUGAGACACGGUCCCGACUCCUACGGGAUGCCGCAGUUGGGAAUAUUGGGCAAUGGGCGCAAGCCUGAUCCAGCCAUACCGCGUGGGUGAAGAAGGCCUUCGGGUUGUAAAGCCCUUUUGUUGGGAAAGAAAAGCGGCAGGUUAAUACCCCGCUGUUCUGACGGUACCCAAAGAAUAAGCACCGGCUAACUUCGUG